AUGAUGGAACACUUGAGUUAGUUUCUAAUAGAGGAGAAUGUUGUUGAUUCUAUGGAUGAUCUAGAGGUAGCUAUGUAAUUUUCACCAGUGGUUCUUCCUUUGUUGACAACUUUUGGAAGAAACUUGGGCAUCUUAAAUUUAGCGUUAACGGUUGAUGAUUCCUUGGUUGGUCUUAGACUUGGAAUAUUUUAACAUGAAUCUUCUAUUUGUUGGGAUGAUGUGGGUAAGAGAAAAUCAUUAGGCUCAGAGAUAGUGCAACAGACCAUAUAUAAGGUGCAGGUGAUCAGAGAACGACUUCAUACAGCUCAGAGUCGUCAAAAGAGUUAUGUUGAUAAUAGAAGGAGAGAACUGAAAUUUUAAUUGGAGAAUCAUGUUUUCUGGAGAGUAUCACCCACUAAAUUGAGCUCUAAGUAUGUUGGUCCGUUUGAGAUUUUGGAUAAGGUUGGAGAUGUGGCAUAUCGAAUGGCUUUACCACUGACUUUAUCUAGUGUGCACGAUGUAUUUUAUGAAGAAAUACAUCGCAGACCCGAGCUAUGUGGUAGCAUAUGAGCCAUUACAUCUACAUGAGGAUUUGACCUAUGAGGAGUUCCCAACACGAAUCAUGGACAGAAAAGAUCAGGUACUACGGCAUCGAACCAUUCCUUUUAUAAAGGUACAAUGAAACAAUCAUACGGAAAGAGAGGCUACUUGGGAGCUCGAAGAAGAGAUGAAGGUCAAGUAUCUGCAGUUAUUCGAAACCUCAGGUGUAUAAAUUUCGAGGACGAAAUUUUUUUUUAGGAGAGGAGAAUGUAAGGGCCCACAUUUUUUGGGGCUUGGGCUAGCCCGACACACCUGAAACGGGAGGGAGACUCCCGAAUAGAGUCUUCCCUCCCCUGUUUCUAUUGCUCCCAUGAAUCCACCGGAAGAGGAAACAAAGAAAAAAAAAAGAGAGAGGGAGACGGGAUCAAAUCCUACCUUAUUUGAAUCAAUUUACAUCUAUAUAAAAAAAGAAUCUCUUCCCCUCUUCCUUAGGGCAUCAACCGAGAGUCUUUCCACAAAAAAAAAAGGGGAGAAAAGAGGGAUUUGGAGUUCUAGGCGAUCCGUGGGAGAAGCUCGGGUUGCUCGCCGUUGGACCAGCCGGAAAGGCUCGCCGGAGGCAAGGGGAACAAUUUGUUGGACGAAAGGACGCUGAGCAGGGUUCUGCAUAUCCGGAUUUAUAGAUCGCCGUGAGGGUGGGUGAUUAGUCUGUCCGAGUUAACAAAGGAGUUACAUGAUGCAUUGAUUUGGACAGGAUGGGCGCAGAGUGCAAGUACCCGAGUCAUUGGUUAGUUGGUUUGUUUAUCUUUCUUUGAUGUUGAUGAACAUUUGAAGAUCUUGUAAUUGAACUAAUUUGUUUAUCUGGUGUGGACAUGUUGGAUUUGUCUA